CCAACAGGGAUUCCCUUAGUAAGUGCGACUGAACCGGGAAGAGCCCAGCGCAUAACCUCGUACGAGGGGUGUUGCGUUCCGGAGGGUCUGGCACACCAUUCUACUGCUAAGUCUCGCUUGAAGGCGGCCACUAACCAUGGAGGGUGACAGUCCCGUAUGGCAGCCCGUGAGGGUUAUUGUGGAUGGUGGAAAGGGCCUUCUGUAGAGUCGGGUUGCUUGAAAUCGCAGCCCAAAGUAGGUGGUAAACUCCAUCUAAGGCUAAAUAUGACCACGAGA
rnacentral:rRNA from 1 species